UACAGAGGGGGCAAGCGUUGUUCGGAAUUACUGGGCGUAAAGGGCGCGUAGGCGGCCCGCUAAGUCGAACGUGAAAUCCCCGAGCUCAACUCGGGAACUGCGUCCGAUACUGGCGGGCUUGAAUCCGGGAGAGGGAUGCGGAAUUCCAGGUGUAGCGGUGAAAUGCGUAGAUAUCUGGAGGAACACCGGUGGCGAAGGCGGCAUCCUGGACCGACACUGACGCUGAGGAGCGAAAGCGUGGGGAGCGAACAGG
rnacentral:rRNA from 1 species